AAAGUUUAAUGGCUUAAUCUUGCUUUACUGUUUGACAUACACGUCUAUCAGUUGCGUAAGCAGGGCAUAAAGACCGCAAGACGCAGUAAGGAAAGGUCUUGUAUUAUUGAAAAAGCUACGCUGGGGAUAACAGGCUAAUUGCGCAAGAGAGUACAAAUUGAGUGCGCAGUUUGGCACCUCGAUGUCGGCUUAGCUCAUCCACAUGAAUGCAGGAAUCAUGAAGGGUACGACUGUUCGUCGAUUAAAGAGCUACACGAGCUGGGUUAAAUACGUCGUGAGACAGUAUGGUUUCUAUCUUCUAGA
rnacentral:rRNA from 15 species